rnacentral:rRNA from 1 species
GUGAGGAAUAUUGCGCAAUGGAGGCAACUCUGACGCAGCCAUGCCGCGUGCAGGAAGAAGGCGCUACGCGUUGUAAACUGCUUUUAACCGGGAAGAAACCCCAGGACGUGUCCUGGGUUGACGGUACCGGAGGAAUAAGCACCGGCUAACUUCGUGCCAGCAGCCGCGGUAAUACGAAGGGUGCAAGCGUUAUCCGGAUUCAUUGGGUUUAAAGGGUGCGUAGGCGGAGCGUUAAGUCAGUGGUGAAAUCCUGCAGCUUAACUGUAGACUUGCCAUUGGUACUGGCGCGCUUGAGUGCGCUUGAAGUGGGCGGAAUGUGCCGUGUAGCGGUGAAAUGCUUAGAUAUGGCACAGAACACCAAUUGCGAAGGCAGCUCACUAAGGCGAUACUGACGCUGAGGCACGAAAGCGUGGGGAUCGAACAGGAUUAGAAACCCCGGUAGUCC